rnacentral:rRNA from 1 species
AUACGGAGGGUGCAAGCGUUAAUCGGAAUUACUGGGCGUAAAGCGUACGUAGGCGGUUAUUUAAGUCAGAUGUGAAAGCCCCGGGCUUAACUUGGGAACUGCAUUUGAAACUGGGUAACUAGAGUUUAGUAGAGGGGAGUGGAAUUUCAGGUGUAGCGGUGAAAUGCGUAGAGAUCUGAAGGAACACCAGUGGCGAAGGCGACUCCCUGGACUAGAACUGACGCUGAGGUACGAAAGCGUGGGUAGCAAACAGGAUUAGAUACCCCAGUAGUCC